rnacentral:rRNA from 1 species
AGUGAACGCUGGCGGCAGGCCUAACACAUGCAAGUCGAGCGGCAGCGCGGGGGCAACCCUGGCGGCGAGCGGCGGACGGGUGAGGAAUUCGUCGGAAUCUGCCUUUUUGUGGGGGAUAACGUAUGGAAACUUACGCUAAUACCGCAUACGUCCUACGGGAGAAAGUGGGGGACCGCAAGGCCUCACGCAGAAAGAUGAGCCGACGACCGAUUAGCUAGUUGGUGGGGUAAAGGCCCACCAAGGCGACGAUCGGUAGCUGGUCUGAGAGGAUGAUCAGCCACACUGGGACUGAGACACGGCCCAGACUCCUACGGGAGGCAGCAGUGGGGAAUAUUGGACAAUGGGCGCAAGCCUGAUCCAGCCAUGCCGCGUGUGUGAAGAAGGCCUUCGGGUUGUAAAGCACUUUUGUCCGGAAAGAAAUCCCUGGAGCUAAUACCUUCGGGGGAUGACGGUACCGGAAGAAUAAGCACCGGCUAACUUCGUG